UCUAGAUGUGAAGAUAAAUCAGAUCUUGAUAAGAUAUAUUUCAUAAUUGUUUGGGAACAAGAAAUACCAAGGCCAGCAGAUCAGAGCUUCCCAGUGUGCAGCUCCAUGGCAGCUUUAACAUCACGAGGAAGUUAUUUAUGGAAGGCACUGUAGGUGGGAAAAAGAAAAUUCCAUCCGUUCGAAGAGCUGGCUGCUAAUGCAGUUACUCAGAAUGCUAGAUAUCUCUGAAGAGAGGCUGCUCUUCCCAUAACACUCUGGAACAGCAACACAAAGUCAAAGAACUGAUUUAUGCCUUAUUUCCACUAAGUCAUGCAAAUUGGAAAGCUUCAAAAGCCUUAGCAAUCUGAUGCAAAUGCACUCCUAUGAAAUUCCAUGGGGGCUUUAGAGGUGCCUUCUAUGCAGACCCUAAGGAGAACAAACAGCUGCCUGCCCUUAUAGUGCAUCACUUCUAAAUACUAAAGGGAUUUGCUAACAGGAGAAAAAUAAUUUGCACCUGUCUAUGCCAUCUUCAGAGCAUCUGGUUUACAAAAAUGAAAGCAGCUGAGAAAAGAAAAUAAAUUGACCUGCAGCAUGCAAAAACUGCAAUAUAAACCAGUUUCUGGAACACUACAGUUUUGCCAGAUAUUUACAGUUUAAACUUCAUUGUAAGAUACUCCCUGGAAUGCCAAUGCUCCCACAAUCUCAAAAGGAUCUCCUGCUUUAGACUGAGUUUUGACAAGGAUACAAGCAGUAUGAUGCACUUGUUCAGAUAUCCAGGGAACUGUUUAAAUUCUCAACAGUUCUCCAACUAUUUAAAAUACCUAAUAUUUUUAAUAAAAAAAUUCAAUAUGUGCCUCAGCUUUUAAUUUGUGAGCAUAGCAUGUCAUUUACAUGAGGGAAACUUGAAUUCUCCUAAAAGAAAAUAGAAGAUUUACAUAAAUGUUAAAUACUUUCAGUGCCACCUAUUGGCUGAUAAAUUGUUUCAGAUGAACAUCAGCUUCAUAACUGUGGACAAAGUACGUAGGGCUACUUAUAGUAAUAUUUCUAAUUCGUACUGAAGGUAAAACCAGCAUCAGGGUCUAUAAUCAUAUUUGAAGACAUUAUUCCAUCUCAAAGAAUUUAAAGUCUAACCACUUUUUUUUUCUUCACAGAAAACAACAAAUCCUGGAGGAUGCUUCAGACAUAUUGUGGUGGUAUCAAUGUUCUAACGCAUUUAGAGAAUAGGUAUGGUGUUGGAAGAUGUAUGAAGAGGUCAGGAAGUGAUUAAAACUUGUCUUUUUAGCCUGGCAAUGGGGUUUUACUUGUGUGAACCUAUCAUCCAAUCAGUUUAGCUACAGUUAACUUCUCUGUAAAAUUUCAAGUCAAAGACACUCUUCACUGCAUCUCAGAUCCCAUUUCUGGAAUAUACUGAAUUCUGUGGCAUCUCUCAGAACUUAGGCCACAGAAUUAACUUGCCACAUUGAUAAUUUCAUCAGGAACAUGAGGAAUACCAUUCAAUUACAUAGUUAAAUGUAAUCUCAUGAUUGUUUUCUAGAGCAAAAUUUGCCAUUCUGAAUGAAUGAUGUUUAUAUAUUUUAUCAUUUUUUUAAAUGUGUAUGUUUAAUAACUCUCCGAAUGAUCUUGAGUUUAGGAUUUUAGGUAAGCUAUCUAGAGGCUCUAUUUAUACAAGGAAGGCUCAUUUGUUACAUACAUUGUUAUGAAGCUUGAUAUUUCCUUGAAGAAAUGAUAAUUCAAGUUUAUAAUUAUUUCUUUGUUCUAGGAAUUCCACCCAUAAGAAUGAUUUAUACUUUUUUCCUCUUUAUGCUGAGGUUUUUUGUUUGCCUCCCAGAUAAGUUAUGUCACAAUAGGGAGAUGGAAUUAUGGCUCAUAUUUUCAAAGAACCUAACUGCUUUGAAAACAAGGCUUGAUCAUAGUGCCCUGUGCCAGAAAGGGACUUAAUAUCCCAUACAGCUCUUUGUAUUUGCUGACACUUUUUUAAAGAGAGUCACCUUAUCUCUUUGAUAAACUAGAUAUUUUAAAUCAGCUGCUUGGGAAAAGAGCAGAGCUACACCUAUGCCCAGAGAGUCCAGCCACUACAGACUAAGAAUGGUCAGUUCUGUCCUUGGAGAAGGAGUUUAGUUAAUUACCUUAGAGCUUACAGUCUGCUUAAGGUGAGCCUCUGAAUUCCUUCUAUAGUCAAAGACAACCUCUCCAGGUUGGCAGCUUGGAGAGAAAUCCUAGUUAUAGGACAAUGAUCCAGAACGGUAAAGUAUUUUUACAAGGUGACUGUCCUGUAUCAGGAGCUAUUCAGGGAAUGCAGGUGACCUUAAAUUUAACACUAAAACUUUUUAGGAGACUGACAUUUUGAAAUGAAUCUUAUCCUGACUGUCUAACGUUUUAACUUUGAACAGGUCCUUUGCGAGCAUUUCCAGUUGUCUCAGUUUCCUACAAAAAAAAGAAAAAAUUGCCAGGUCUGUGUUACAAAACUAAUCUUGGGAUACAGUUGCCAGCUGGGGGCAGACAGGACAGGACCUUUCUGGCUGAGGUCCCAGAGAUCAUGGAACUGGCCCUGGCUGUCGAGGUUCACCCUGCCUGGCCCAAGAACAGCCUCCACCAUUGCUGUCCUCAUAGCGCACUGACACUGUCAUUAAUUUUGCACUGAUUUAAUUCAUCCUUUCAGGUCUUUUCUACUCCUGGCAUUAAUUUUUGCUUCUCCUUUCCCCUUAUGCCCUCUCGGAAUCAGACUGCCCUUUUUUGGCGCUGAAGUGCAGCUAAGCAGCCUGAAGGCUGUGAACUUUUGGCCACAGACUCAGAAGCUGUGACAGAGGCUGAGUCAACAAAAUGACUCAAGGCCUGAAACACAUCAGAAAAAAGAAAAAAUAAUCUGUCCCAUAGGAUUUGAAAUAAAUUAGGUUUUUAACAAAUUACAACAAAUCCUUGGCCAAAGGAGAAAAAUCCAAGAAUGGGAGCAAUGUUUUUCUUCAGGCUAACAUGGUGAAAAUAACAUGAGCUUCAGUGCUAAACUAUAUCCAUUGGUGAGGGAAGAAUACAAAAGUGCAAUAUUUAUUUAAUGACAGAAGAAAAUGUCUGACUCAGUGUUCCUCUGAAGCCCAGCUUACUACAAUGGUGGUUGUACUUUAAUUCCCAUAUCCAAACCUGAAACUAUAUAGGCUGAACAGAAACAACCCUCAGCUGUGGAAGAUUAUUUCCUGGCUAAGGGCAAAAUCAUAUAAGGACAUCUAAUCUCUAAUCUAAUGAGUACUAGAAAAUAAGUAUGGAAGCUCAUUUGCAAUACUUCUGAUGUUAGAAGCUUUUGCUUAUGAGUCACAAGAUUUUGGUGUUGUCAUAUCCAAAACAAAAUUUACAUUUUAACUAGUGCUCUGGAUAAAACCAAAUGAGGACUUGGAAUGCUAUUUCUUAACAGAAAAAAGCCACUCAUAACUUACAUAGCUUUUUUUUAUAAAUGUUUUGAUUAUUAAUAGAUUAAUUUAUUUAGCUUAAUCAGUCUCUAAUUUCCAAAACAGGACAAUUUUUCAUGUUAAAUUUUCAAGCACAUAUACAUCUGUAAAUAAAUUUUUUUGGAGAGUUGCCCAUGGCAUCAUCCUCAUUUUAGUACUUCCCUUUCCCAAACAAACAGAAACCAUGUAAGCCCUACCUUUCAGGUGGGUUCUUUACCAUUUUUCAGUGUUUAUAUCAUUUGACUUAGAAAGUCAUUCCUCCAAUCCCAUAUUCAAAUAAUUUUUAACAAUUUUCUAAGUGAAAAACAUGUCAUUACUAUGAUAAAUCUCAACUGAUGACAACACACUGCACAACUAAAUUGUCAUUCUAAAAAACUCUUUAUUUAACAGGGUUUCUUUGGUCAUGAUACUUGUUCAAGUAUUAUGAAGUUCAUAAUAAAUUAUCUCCACAUGGUAUUAACCAUGUUCAUGUCAAAGACAUAGGUCUCAAGUGUGUUGAUUUAAAAUUUCUACAAAAAAUGUUUAGUAGAAUCAGUGCCUUGAGAAUACAGUAGCAGUAUAACUUCAGCACUAAUUUGCUGUCACCAAGACUGUAUAAACAUAUGCACUGAGCUGCUGCUUUCUUUAGAUAGUGGUUCUGGGCUGUCUCUCUGCAAAGUACUUAGGUACAGUUCACUCUUUGUUAAAGAUCUCUCAAACAACCAGUGUGCUAGUUGGAAAUAAAGUAAUAAAAAUCGAGUAAGACUUCUUUAUACCCACCAAACUGCUAAUUCUGUGUUCUCCCUGCAGUUCUUCACAAAGAUUAUUGCUACACAAAUUCGGCUCAACUUCAGUGGAAUGUCAGGAGGGAAAAAGAGAGAAGUGUGGGUUUAUACUGUUGAAGAUUCAUAACUAUGGAAUAACCUUGUAUGAAUCCUAUGAUUCUAUGCUUUUUAGAUCCAAGUUGUGUCUCCUUUUACUAAAAACGAUGAUUCUCAAUCACAGCCAGGUACUUGUUCUGUAUCCAGAACAGUUCUACAAUGUCAUAGAAUCAUAGAAUCACUGAAUGGCCUGGGUUGGAAAGGACCCAAAAUUUUAUCUAGUUACAACCCCCUUGCCAUGGACAGUCUAUCACUGUUUAUUAAUCAGAGGAAACUAUUUUUAUAUUUAUUCCUGAAUGUUUUAUAAGAGGCAAGUUGGAAUUCCAAGUUUUCAGAAAUUGGCAAGUGCAUAAAGAGUGAACUAGACUUAUUUUGAGAGGGUUCUUUUAGUUUUGUCUUUAAAAAAGUAACUAGAUUAUGAGGUUUAGGUGAAAAUGUUAUAACUUUAUUUCUGUUUUAAGUCAACUGAAACCAGUCUAUUUGUUGACGAGCCAAAUAAUUUAUUUGUUUUAGCUUAAGACAUAGCAAUGUUUGUAGUCCAAAAUUAUGUUCCCUGGAUAUCCUUAAUGUGAUGCUGUUGGUUUGUUAAGUGUAUCCCAAGAAGAGAUGAGAACAAGAAAAACCUUAGCUAUCUUUCAUAAAACAGCUAAUAUGACAGUUUCAUGGUAUCUAAAAAAUGUUUACUACCAUUUUAAAAGAUUAUGUCAGGAAAAAAUUCAAAUGCAUGAGUGUGCUUCUGGACAGCUUGACUGUUAUGUCACACAGCUGUGUCACUUACAUUUUUUUGUACAGAUUUAUGCUGUAGAAUUCCAAAAUAAGCAAGAUUCCAGGCCAAAUGGAUCCAAUCUGAUAAUGCAUUCUGAGAGUGGUACAGUUCCUUUAAUUCUUGUUUAAAAAGGCUUCUCAGUCUUCUUCUGAGUACCACCAGAGUGACUAGACUCCCUGCUAUUACUGAAGUGUCAGGUUGCUUAAUAUUUGUACCUCAUGUUGUCACUAGGAUAAUGUACCAUUUGAUGUGACCACAAGUCUUUAAAGUGGGAAUUAUUUGGUUAUUUAAAUAGUAGCUUGUUUUUCUGUGAAAGUUUAAUAAUGAUGACUGUUCUCAAGGAAAAAAAAGAACAAUCCCUAAACCCUUAGAGUGACUUAGACUAGCAGCUGGCUUAGUCAAUUAGCUUACAGCAUCAUCUCUACUGUAAUGGUGUUCUUCUGGAUCUUGACUUUCUUUUAUGCCUGAUUCUGGACAGAAAAAUGAUAAUGUUUGUUUUAUUAAUUUGUAUGACACAGAUUACCCAUGAAAAUUCUCACAAGUGAUGCCUUUUUGAUGGAAAUAGACUCUUCUUGGGUCUUUUCUGAAAUACAUCUUGGUGUAUUGAUUUAGCAGUUGAAAAAGACGUGAUAAGUCAGCAAAAGGAAAAGCAAGCCCUAGAAAAUAAAUAAAUACAUAUUAAACAUAAAUAUAAUUUCUACCUGAAUAGAUGCAUCAUAUUUUCAAUGUUUUUCAGUGUUUUCCAUAUAACACUCUAACGUUGUCCUGCUAUUAAUUCAAAGAAACCCAAUGCAAAUUGCUUCAAGACAAAUAGCAGUAUCACUGCAUAAGAUCAACUUCAUAUAACUAUGUUUUAACGGCCUUAAAGUCAAAUAUGUCUCAAUGCUUCCCUCCACUCUGUGCUCUUUUAGAGAGCAGUUCAGCCAGAAUCUGAGUGAAUUGACAUCUGGAAGUACCUGUCUGCCUAUUUGUGUUUGCCUCUCACUUGGGGUUAGGUGAGAUGGGGUGCCUUUCCCUCACCUUCUACACUCACUUCAAGGUUAUUUGAAUGAAGUGAGUAUAGGAGAAAUUAAUGUACCUUCCACAUUUUAAUAACGUAUUUUAUGGGUAAACACAGUUCUAUCUUUUUCUGAUAUUAGUUAUUAUUUCUAUUUUGUCAUUACUCUCCUUAAAACCACUAACCUUUUUAAUAUUUCCAGUUGAAAAAAAAAACUCCUCUUAUAUAGUAGAUGAGAACCUUAUUCCAUUGUAAAGGUGGAAGAAAUGCACAAAAGUGCUACAUAUUCACAUUUUUAUCAAAUAACCGAAAAUUUUAAAAAAUCUUUUCUUAAUUUAAUUAUAGCAAAAAGAUAAAAUCAUAUUUACUGUUCUUUUACAGCUGACAAUUGAAUCCCUUGUUGACUAAACUUCUCUACCUAAACAGAUCCACAAUGACAUAUUUGGGAAUCAGUCUUUUAUCAUCCACAGUGAUGGAGCUUUCACUGUGAAAGCCAUGAUGAUUACUGAAGUACAGCUUGACUCUUUUCAAAUUUUGCAAUGUCUUGUAAAAUAAAGGAAGAUUUAUUUUAUAUUUACACAUAUGCUUUGUAAUUAUUUAAUCAACCAAAUCAAAAUUUUACAAGUAAAAAACAUUUGUCAUUUCAUUAUGCAUUGUUUGAGGCUGAAAAGGCAUUUGAUUAUCAUAAUUGAGUAAUGGAUAUUAGCUACAGUGGUAAUCAAAAUAAACACAGAGCAUUUAUAUAGCAUCUUUUCAUGGUCCUUUUCCAAAUUAUAUAAUCCAUGUACAAACUGCACAUGAAUAAAGUGCUAAGGUUAAACAAACAAGCCUUUAAUGAUCAGCAAUGGUGAAGUCAAGAGGUUUCUUCCAGACAUAUGUCUCAAAGAGUACCUUUAACUGAAAAAGCUAAACAUUAGGUUUUGUCAACGUUAAAUAUUUCUUGUCUCAGUUCUCUAGAGUCUGUAAUUUUUUUUUUAAAUGUUUAAAAGCUUAACUUAUUCACUCCCACUCUACAAGGUGUUCUACAGAAUCCUUUCACAUACUCAAGAGAUGCUUUCCAGUGGUGUGUGAUUAGUGUUAAAGUGUACUUGGCCUUGUACACAAACAUGAAAGACACGAUUAUAUCAGUCUGGAACUUUGCAUUAGAAAAAGCUGGCUUCCUUAUGAUGGCAUUUGUUACACUAGUUGCAGGUGUGCAGGUUUUUUCUCUUUUUAUUUCUGAUUAAAUUGCAAUAUCAAAAUGCCCCAUUUAGGAAUUCCAUUGAAAUGAUCAAAUAUAAUUUUUUCUGUUUCCAAAACUUUUGUGUAAGAAGCUUCUAUAUUUCAUGUAUUUUUAAAUAACAAGUAAAAGGGCUGUAAUAAAGUUAUUCAUUCUUAUUACCCAGAAACACAUUUUCUGAUAUUCUGUAAAUGCUCUGUAACAGUCCCUUCCAGUACUGUUUGAAACAGAUAAAAUGUUUCUUCCGUUACAGAUGAGAUCCUGAAUCCGUUGCAGAAAGUGGGAACGUUGUGACCUUCACUUGGGCAGGCUUUUCAGAUCAGGUUGUUGAAUGUUUUGUCUCAAAUGCAAACAUCAGAUACCAAGUAACUAUGCUAUAGAAGUAAAAUUUUAUGCAGGCGGAAUCUUAAUUGAGGGACCUGAGUAAGGUUUAAUUCUAGAAAUCUGGAGACUGCACAGGGAAUAGUUUGAAUAUUCAAAGAUCCAAGUACCAAUGGUUUGAAUAUUUGUGGUAUUUGAAGGUUAUCAUGAAACAGUAUUUCUAUUGCUUGUUUUGUACCACAUGGUUAUGACUAUGGAGAAAUACUUUUCACUUAGCCUUGUUUUCAUGUUAGCAGUAUCUCUUUUCUCAUUAAGUUUAGUGAAGACGUAUAACAUGUUUAACCAUUUUUCUUAUAUAAAGCUGGAACACUCAUUUCUACAAGAGACACUUAUAUAGCCUGCAGUACAUAUAAGCCUUGUUAGAGCAGUCUAGGUAAUUGUAGUCUUUUGCUGAAUUUAUGCAAACAGACACGCUACACAGAAUGAGAAGAGAGGCUCUUCAGGAAAGCCAUUAUUGUCUGCAAUAUUUCUUUUGACCCUUUUUCAUUUCAGAAGUGGCAUAAUCUUGUACUUAAUCCCACUGACCCAGGUAUUUAAAUCCAGUGGACUUUAGGCCAUACAAAAAUUCUAGGGAGAGGCAGUAUCUUCAACAUGCCAAUGUAAAAUAAAGGAUAAGAUUUCAGGGCUUUUUCACUAUGAAACUGAAUCAGCCAUCAAACAAAAAGAAUGGCUCUAUGUCUUCUGAGCUAGGUACAUUCAAAUAUUGCUAUUUUUACUAGUCUAGUCUUUAGGAACUAGGUAAAAUGGUAAAUGUCAAUUUAUUUCCCCCAAAUGAUUUAAGGAAUAGUAUACUUGUUUUACUGUAUUCAAACACCUCCAGAGAAUAGAUAGUAAUACAUUAUGGAUACCUGGUAAAUUCCAGAACACUUUAAAAUACAUAACCAUUGCAAUUUGUGAAAACAUUUUCUGCCUGUUUGGCCACCUCUAUGUAAACUUAAUAGUGAAAACCAUUAAUCCCUAUAAUGUGGUUACUGUUAAUAUGUAUUUUCACUUUAAUCUCAGAAAGUCAGAAAAAAAAAAGGUUUUAGGUUAUUUGAAGAAUUUAGAGCAGUGGCAGAUAAUCUGUAAUUUGAAAGAAGAAGAGCUGGAUGUAAAGAAGUGGUAAAGUUUUGCCCUUCCUUUCCUGAUUCCAGUUUAGGGUUGGGGGGGGGCGGGGGUUUUGAGACAUUCAAAAUGAAAAUAUGUACCUUCUUGCAAUAGGUGUUAUGCUAUACUGGACUCCUUGUAAAAGUGCAAUUAAGGAGGAAUUUGAAGAAGAGGGAACUUCUCAAGCUGGCUCUCAAUGCUAAUAAUUGAGGAAGUUAAUGGAAAGGUCUCCAAGAGUGUAGGUGUAGCUUUGUGCUCUUAAUAACUCUAGGUGUACCUGGUCCUAUUGCUGUAUUUGAGGAAAUAUUUCUCAGAAGUCACUUACACUAUUCUAGGUUUCACAUCAGGACGUUUUGCAGUUUUGUAGCUGAAUCUUAAAUAAGUUUAAAAAAUAAAAAAUUUGGCUUGUGCUGUAUCUUGCCUACUGUACACUACUGUGGCAUACAUUUUGAAGUAGCAUCAUAACUGGCAGAUCUUUCCAUCAUUUUGACUGGUUAAUGAAAUAUUUUUCUCAAAUUCCCACAAGUAAAUAAUGAACACUGUGAUUUACAUGCAUAUAUGCACUUUUGUCGUGGAUAUUAGACAGUAAUACAGAAUUCAUGGUUUAUCUGUCACAGUCCUUGCAAUACAGCACUUCUUCCAUGAAGGAUCUAUUAGUCAGACUAAUUCAAUUCUGUCCAUUCCUGCUGUCCAAAACAUUAUAACUCCCCUUGACAGAGGUGUGUUCUGAUGCCAAAAUUUUGUCAAUCUCCUUUUCUGUUCAGUAAUUGAAACCUGACACACUUUGCAUGCCUUCAAUGCCAUUAACUGUUGUUUUAAUUCUAGGUAAUGACUGGGUCAUUCAAGAUAAAUCUUUUUACAAGGCUGAUUAUUUUAAAAUAAAUUUAAAUAUUAUACACAGUAUCUUUCCAAAACACUUGAGAUUAAUGAAGGGUCUUAGUAGCAUAACCAACAGUUUUAGUUAUUUGACCUCUAUAUUAAAUAUAAUGACAUCUGCAGAAAUUUCUGUGUCAGAGCCAUGAGUGCACCAAGAUACUGGUGAAGUACCCUGGCAAAUCUCCCCUGAGGCCUUUACCCAUGCAUCCUCUGCUCUCUGACUUGGGGGCUGCAUCAAUCUCAGACUCUUGCCCUUCUUGGUCCUUCCUGAGUUAUGAUGUAGGUUUGCUGCCUCUGGCCCUGCCAUUCAGGCAGAGAUUUGUAAAUGGGUCUCUUCUGUGCUGUGUGGUAGCUCUAAGCUCUGAGGUGUUGGAAUGAGACUUUCCUUUUCAUCUGAAGAAAGAUGGACCUACCCCCUGAAGAGGGUUUGCAGUUCAGAGCAAGGGGGAUGCAAAUCUAAGCAGUAGUUAUUAAGACUCAAGUCUCUUCUGAAGUGGUUUCUUUUCAAUUAAUAAUUUAGCUUGUUCUAUUCCCUAGAAGUCUGUUUCUGAACCACCCAGUAUUGAGCAUAUUCUUCAAUGAGUAAGAAGUGGAAAUUUAUUUCUAUCCUGCCUAAGAGUAUUUCAUCCCCCCACCACUACAUGCCCUAAAAGCUGCCAGCAGAAGUGGGUGGAGAGGUAUCUUUUUCUUGUGUAGCAUUAAGCAAAAUAGGAAAAACAGAAUCUGUUGCAUAUAAAUUGCUUAAAUAAUUGGAUGUGGUAAAUUCACCUGAAUACUAAAUACUGCAUUACACAGUUUUCCAUAGAGAAAGAAAGUCUGUGAAUCAAAUGUAUGAUUUCCAAGCUUAAGCUCUUCUCAUUAUCCUGCAGCUUCUUUUUUCUUUGCAAUACUAUUUCACACUAAGCCAUGGAAAUAUUAAGAAUUGUGCAUUGUUCUUACAGAAAUUUUUCCCAAAGCCUAACAGUACUAGAGGAAGAUGAGAAGUGUGCAUGCCUACUUCUUGCCUAUAAAGAUUAAAUAAUCAGGGCCAUUAUUCAAGUUUAUCUUCUCUUCAUUCUGAACAGUGGUCAUUUGGCAGUAUUUACAAACAUUAUGACUUGUGUGCCAAGUAAGGAUCUGUAACUGUCACUGAAUUCAACUGCUUUCGCUGUGCUUCUACUUAUAAUGGAUCACAUUCAGAAAAGUAGAGGCAAUGACUUAUGCUGUUCAUAGAGGGAUUUAAAAUACAAAUACAUUUGGCUACUUGCUGACCCUCCUGAAGGACACUGUAAUGGUGAAGAAUUAACAGAGGAAAAUCUCUCAGCAAAGUGAAAGGUAGAAAUGAGUGCUUUUCUAUCACCAAAACCCAUGCUAUUGUCCAGGCCAGGAGGUUAGCUUAUAAAAUGGUUCCUUGAAGAAAAUAAGUACUUUCAUCAUCAAUAAUGCCUAUGGAUAUUUCUCUCUCUCUUCUUACUAGCAAGGGAAAAUCCUACAUCAUAAUUUGCUACCCAAAUUUGUCCUAGUGUGAAGUAACUUCAUACUGCAUGACAAGCAGGUAUAUUAGCAGCCCCCAGAGAAAACUUGUUCUCAAAAUGCUACAUACAUUUUCAAAGAUAUCUUUGUUCUUGUGGCCACAAAGAUGGCAGUUAACCAUGACCAGGCUACAAAAUAUUAAAGAAUUUGUAGACCUGGAACUGAAUGUCAGGAGAAUACUAUGAAUUCAAAUACUGGUAUCAUUAAACUAAUUUCCUUAAUACUGAUAUCUUUAGCCUUAAAAAGCAAAGAACCAUUGUUUGUAUAUUUGCAGUAUUUUGAUCCUGGAUUGCAGUUGGAAAAAAAAAAAAGCAAGAAACAGUUGUUUUCCAAUAGAAGAAUGUCAAAAAUUUACGUUUAAAAUAAGCUCUAGUUCUUAGUACUGUGGAAUAGGCAUCACUGUCUUGUACAAAGUUAACAUUAGUUCUGAAGUUUGUUUUUUAAAUGUGCUUACAAAAUUAGUCAGAAAUUUGACAGCUGUGUGCAUACAAAAUAAAGUGAAGUUCGAUUAUAUAGGGGAGUUGCUUCAGGCAAGCCUUGACAUUUUUUUUUUCUAUGCCUAGCAACACUUCAUCAGAAUUAUAUGUUAUGAUAUAAUUUUAUCUAUUUAUGUUAUGUACCUAUGAAAUUUUCACAUUGUAGAAGGUUUUUUUAGUGAGUGUAAUCAAAAUAAGUCAAGAAAUAGUCCUUUCUCAAGAAAUGAAAAAGGUGUCCUAGGGAUUCAUAGCUGUCUAAAUUUUGGAAAGUUAUAAUUAGUAUAGCCUUUUCUCCAAAGUGGAACAUCAUUCAUACAAAUAACUUAGGUAUGUUCAUCCGAAUGUGCCUUACUAAGAAAAAGUAAUGGCUUAUUAUCAUGCCUUCUGGUCUUCAGCAACAUAUGAGAUUAUACAACCAGCAGAAAGGAUCACAUGAGUUUCUAAAUUUUCUUCUUUCUCUUAAAUGACAUAGUGUAAAAUGUGAGGCAGAGUAUGUGAGGCAGAAAAAAUUUAGAGUUAUAUGGGUUACAUUAUGUGGAUGACAGCUUACAGGUGACUGCAAAGUGCACCCACAUAUGAAUGCACCUGUAUCCAUUAACAAAGUGCUCUGAAAAAAUGCUUAUUUAGGAACAAUAUGAUGUUUAUACCACAUAGUUUACUGGUUUAAUGUGAUACAUUGCAGGUAUAUAGUGUUUACUUCAAGACACAACCAAACACUACAUUGUUCCUUCGUGUCACAGGGAGCACACAUUUAGGCAGGACCCUUGGCAAUCUUCUACUGUAAUCUGUUCCCAAGCAGGAUUUUAUGUGGCUAUGUUGCUACAGCCCCAGUUUGAACAUGGCUGGAACAUUUCCCAGAUGAGAGGGAAAGAAUGCCAUAGCCAGAAUUACGAUCUGCCUAGCAGACACAAAAAUAAUUGUACACAAGUGUAUACAUGUGAGGCCUUUACUAGGUCCAGAUUUUGUCUCACUUAUUUAUAUAAACGCCAGAUCUAUGGCCAGGCAGUGUCGGUGUCUGUUGGGUAUUCCCCCCAUCCCACUUAAAGUGCCAUCUGCUGUUUCAUAUAUCUGCCAAGUGUAUGGAUUAAGUCUGCUGUUUCCCAUUUAUGUCACGUUAUUAAUAAUGGUAAUGAAUGUUUGCUAAAUGAUAGUUGCACAGGCUGUAGUUGUAAAAUUCAUGGUCACACAUUCUUGUCCUUUCCUUAUUUGUCUUAUGAGUGCCAGAACUCUGGACAUACUUUUCAAUUCUCAAAUAUUUAUUUCUCCUGAUGAUCCCUUCUAAUAUUCCAACAAAUCAUAGGGCUUUAAAAAAUAUUACUCCCUGAUUCUAUGAACUGACUGCAUGUACAUACCCAUGCAUUUUCAACCUAUGCAGGCAGUGGGUACAGAAAAAUAACCAGCUUUAAAUGCAGUAAGGAAUAAUCUGGUAGGGUUCCCCUGUUUCACAUAUGAUUUGAAGAAGCCCAUCUUUUCACAAUCCCAGCAGUAAAGAUAGUAAAAAAAGAGACCUUCUCCAUACCUGUCCUGGUAUCAAAUUUAUUGACACAUUUUGAUAAACAGUGUGCAGCAUGUUUUGGUAUUUUAAAACAUGAUAAAAUGUAAUUAAUUUAAUUUUUAAAAGCCUCACACAAGGAUAUUUUUUCCCCUUUCAAUAGAUCUUCCUUUUUAAUGCCUGAGCUCUGAAGACUCUUGCAUCUAUAACAUAAAUGAAGGAAGUUUCAAAGGGACAUCCCAUAUGUAAUUUUUAUGAUAUGUAAUUCAAUUUCACUGUAACUGUGGAUACUUAUGAUGGUUGCAUGAUAUACACUUCACAUAUUUAUUGUGAUUAUUUUUCCACUGAAAUCUGAUAUCAGACUUCUGUAGUGGGACAGUGCAGAGUAAUCAGAAGUAAUCAUGUUUUCCCCAUCAAAACUGUCUCUCCCAAUAUUCCCACGUGUGUAUAAAGAGCCACUUAAUCACGAACUCUAAUAUGUUUGUUGGCAAUUUAAUUUUUUGUUUCACCUUGAGAACUACAGUGAGGUCAACAUGCUUGAGUACAGUUUUAUACUCUGCUGUAAUAACUUGAAUAUUUUUAAACCUACAUACAUAUGAGGUCAGUGCAAACUGUAAAUAUGUCUGUCGUUGGACCAAUAGUCUUGAUUUUGUCCUUGUUUUCUGACAGUUCUAGUAGCUUGUAAUAAACUUUUGGAUAGGAUUUAGUAGCUAAAGCAGACUUAACUAAGACCAGGUCACUAAAAUCAAAACCACAGGAAUGAAAAAUGGUGGUAACUUCUGCUUAGCCUUGGAGGUGUCACAGGUCCAUGCAAGAUUUUCUUUUCAUAUGCAGGACUUUGAAGUAUUCAGGAAAUUAUCAGGAAGUUAUCCAUCCAUUAAUUAAUUAAUUAAUUCUCCUCAGUUUUGCCUAGCAAGCUUUAAUCUAGUAGCUGUUCCCAGGGCAUGCCUUACGCAUUUCCACAUAGAAUCCUAGGAUUGUCUGAGUUGGAAAGGACCUUAAAUAUCAUCCUCAACUUCUCUGAACAACCUGUUCCAUUGCCUCACCACUCUUACAGCAAAGAUUUUUUCAUAACAUCUAAUCUGAAUCUCUCCUCUUUUAGUUUGAAACUAUUUCCUUUUGUCCUGUCACAAUCUGGCCUUGUAAAAUGGUGUGAGAGGAUGCUGCACAGAUGGAGGGAUACGUGUUUGGCCAGACUACCUGAAUUCACGUUCCUCUUUGGACCUCAUUGUAAAUUGCCCUGUUAGGCUGGAAAAUACCUGUAAAAGAGGGGGUCUUGUUGAAAGCAAAGAGAAAAUGCUGAAUUUCACUGGUCAGGCUGGUUUCAGAGCUACAUGUAUUAGAAAAAUACUGAAAAAUAUCACCAUAUCCCAGAAGAGGAAACACAUGGGGCUACAAAUAAUGAUUCUCCUCCUCCUGCCCUUUGCCCUAUGUGCCCUUCUUUCCAAGGCAGCACACCAUGGCAGCAGGUGGAGGAGGGAAUGAACACAACCACAAAACAGCCAUGAGACAAUGAGCAUUGGUGUAAAAGCCACAGAAGGCAGAAGUCUACCUCUCACCAUCUAAAAUGUGAGACCCCCCACUGCCCUUGAUGAAAGGUUACACUUUUACCCCCAGGAGGGUGCUGCAAAAUAACAAGAAAUUUUUCCAUGUAUUCAAGAGAGAGAAUGAGGGUCGAUGACUUGUCUUUGAUUUUCUUGUUGAGCUGUGCUCAGUGACAGCUACAGAUGAUUGCAUGCUGCUAGGUCCUCUCUCACUGUAUGUCUGCUUUAAACUUUUUCCUAAAGCACCUGGAAUCCCUUUGGGAUCUACUGGGGAGAAUAAAUGCCUAUUUUUGGACUCCAAAUCACAUUUUGAAUCUGGCAUUCUUCCUUUUUUUCUCAUAAAGGAUGCUUACAAACUGACACAAUGCCCUGACUUUGGUUUUCUUUUUUUUUUUAAACCAAUGGAAACAAUGUAUAUGACUAGUUAAAACUACAAGAAAGCAAAAUAAUAAAGGUGGUCUGGCUUUUAUCUGUCUGUUUCUUUACAUAUGAAGUGCACUCAGAAAUAUUUUUGGGUGUUGUUUUCAGUGUACAAGUUCUUUCAGACAGCUAAGGAAUAAUAUAAAAUUACUUAGUGUCCAGAGGAAAAAAAAAUAUACAUCUAUCAUAAUUCUGAACCUUUAAGAUAGCUAAAAAAUAAUAUAAAAUUGCUUCAUGUCCAAAUAAAAAAUUAUACAUAUAUCAUACUUAAUUCCAAAUAUUUAAAAAGCAUUAAAAAUUCAGAUUUGGAACCUGGGUCUUGUUUUCUUAUUUUGGAUAAUGACAAUGCUAGCCUUCUAAAUGUGAUUCUCCUUGUGUAAUAUACAUACAUAUACAUACGUCAAGUCACAGAAUGGUGAUUUGUAAAGUAAAUAGCAAUACAUUCUACUUUUUACUGCUCUCCACUUGAAAACUGUAUUGACUUGCUAACUGAGUGCCUUCUGCAUAAGACUUUAAAAUUGGAAGUGAGCUCAAAUAUUUGAAACUUCUCAGACUUGAAUCUUAACUCAGGUCUAUUUCAUACAGUUUAUCUCACUGGAAAUUAAUACUUGUUUGUUAAAAGUAUGUUUUUCACGUCCCAGUGUUCAUACUCCCAAUUAUUCCAAUUGUUUGAAUUCAGUUCUUUAUUAUAAGAAUGUCUACAGUGAGUACAUUGAAUAGAGCAUAAAGCCAUUUUUACUUUUGCAUGUGAAUAUAGCUCUUGUUUCUACAAUUACUCUACAUAUUCUACUUAAUUUGCAAGAUAUAGUAGGAAGGUUAGUUUGGUUGGCCCAUUUGUCACCAUUAUAGUCAUCCUAAACAAUAUUGUUAAUUUAUGCUAUGUAUUUCUAGAGUAGAAAAAGAGAUAAACUAUGCAAGAUGACCAUAUAAUCAUAUUCAAGGAUAUUGAUAAUGUAAAUGCUUCAGCAUGAAAAUCUUAAUUAGCUUUCAAACAGGCACACAAGGAGAGGAUGAUGGUGAAGACAGCUGUAAACAGUUCUCAAAAAAGAGAAAAAGAAAAAAAAAGAGAAAACCAUGCUCUCAGUGUAAAAAGGGAACAGAAUUUUCCAAUUGUAUCAUUGUGUCCAUAGAGAGCUAUUUCACAACAUAGUUAAAGAAUUAUAUCCACUCAGACUUGCUAGCUAUAUCAACGCCUAUGUUCCUUUACUCAGUUUUGAUAGCUAGGAUCUGACAGCAAGUCUGCAUACUGAGACUCUUCCUACGACUUCAGGUUUUCUUAAUCUCCUUGUAUGAUCUCUGAUGUAGGCCCAAUGCAUGUAAAAAUGUGAUCCACAUGUUUUUAAGUUCUCUUUACAAAAUUAUUACUACAAAACAAACGAAUUCUAUUUAAUAGAUUCUGAGAAAUAUAAAUACCAACCCCCCCCGCCCAUCUUACAACUUUAUUUUUACAAAGGCAUCAUCAUCCUUCAAAUAAGUUUGUAAGAGCAUUUCUCGUAGAGAAAGAAAGUGGUAGAAAUGGCAGGUGCUGUAUGGGUGAUGAAGCAGAAGUUACAGGCUUUCAUGCUGUCUUCAUCUGGUCAAUUUUAAAAUGGCAAAUACUAUCGAACAGGUUUUCCAUCAAACUUUAGCAGCUGUGAAACAAUGAAUACAGAAAGCACACCUGCCAUGUUUUUCAUCACCCGAUUUGGCUCUUGGCUCCCACCUGGAUUUGUGGCACAAAUUCUUGUCCUUGAAAGCAAGUCAUGCUUACUGCUAUUGUGGGCCCUAUCCACCAGACAAGUCUAUCUGUGCAUAUGGUCCUAAGAAGUUGGUGUCUAAAAGCAGCAACCCAGAAAGAAAAGUACAGGUCAUUUAACUCAUCAGAUAUAGCUUUCACUGGCACUUGUAUUAAGGUAGAAUAUUCUCACAAAUUAUUUCAGCGUCUCUACCAGUGUAUCUCUUCUGCUUGCCUUUCUCUUUUAAUUUCCUCUUCUCAGCAUCAGUUUCACAAAUGUUUGGUAGGUCCUUUCUGUGCCAAUGAGUCAUUCACUGCAGAAUUACUCUGCUUCUGUUUGCUUUCAACUGGGCUCCACUCCAGAUACAUGGAAAUAUGUUCCUUUGAUGCAAUAACGAUUUUUUUUUCUGGAUAUCUUGUUUGAACUAUUGGCCAUUUGUUUUCUCCUGAUUUCUGGAUAAAUCUACCUCAUAGCUAAGGUAACCAACAAGAAUUUAUCAUGCCUAAUGGUGAGACAAUAAGGCUCAGCAUACUAAAACAGAAGCAGAUGCUACUUCUGCAAUGCUCAUACUUUGCUGGCACAUUGGCUGAUUACGAUCUGACUCUGCCCUAUUCCAACUUCCCGUUGCCAGCCCAGAAAGUACCAAGUGUGUUUCACCUCUUUAUCAGUUACAGAAUAUAUGAAAUACAGUCUAUAUAUCUAGUUUUGUGAAUGAAUCUAUUGCAAAGGUUCAGGACUAAAGUUAACAGAAGACCCUUAGAAGUUUUAGGGUAAGCCAUAUCAUUCAGUGUAAACACUUCUUUGAUGAAUUCUCCUUACAUGUGGAAAACUUAUACCAGGGUUUUUUAUUGCACAGGAAAUGAUUAAAAAUAUUGCCACAGUUUUCAAAGAGUUUCAAAGAAAAAUAGCAGGGUUUCAAAGAUGCCACAAAGACCCAUCUUAUUUAUUAAUCAUGGUCAUUGGUUUAACGUCCUAGUUUCCUUUUCCAGCUUUCAGAAUUUUGAAAUUAAAUGUCCCUAAUCAGUUUAAAGCUCAUAUUGUUGUCUCACCCUGGAAAAUGGUAGUCUAAGAUUUUUUUUAAUGACUAACUGUUAGCACAACAUAGAGUAUGUAGCACUUGCUUUCGGAAAGGUGAUGACAGGAGUCCAUUGUUGGAUCUUGAGUAAAAUUUUGCUCAGAAUACCAGUAUAACUUUCAAAUUAAUCUCGAAAUUCUGUAUUUAUCUAUUUACCACAUGUUGCUUUAAUUUCCAAGUUGGUUUUACUUAGAAAAACCUUGAUUUUUUUCUGGAGAAAAUUAAGCUAGAAUCUAUUCUCAUGUUGUAAUUUACUAUCUUUCCUUUUCUCUUGCAUAAUACGUUUGAAUGAUAUAAACAACCCAAGAAAAUAAAUAAGAAGCCCAAGAAUGUGAUUUAUGCUGACAAUUUUCUUCCUGAAAAACACAGAAGAAAGGACUAUGCUAAGCAACCUGUUUCAUUCUCUUCUUCAAUUCUUUUUGUUUUUCACUGUACCAUCUUUUGGCUCUCUGUCAACAGCUCCAGCUUCCAGGUGACUUUUGCAAUUGCAGAUAGCUUUGGUGUUUGUGUAGUUCUUUAUUUAUGCCUAUCAGAUGGAGAAACAGGUAAAAUGAAGAAAGAGUUAGUCCCUGUUCCCUCUGUUUCUGACUUAUCUGUACAUCCUAUUAAAAAAUCAUUACAGAAAGCUGACUGAAUCACAGGAAAUGGCGCAGGGUUUAUAAAAUCAGAAGUAUAUUUUCUGCAUUAAUUCAUGCAAAUGAUUCAUGACAGAAAGCGAAAAUAAGUAGUUUGACUUUCUCUUCUCAGAAUGUUUUUAUUUUCCCUUUCCAUAAAAUGUUUUAGUAUCUUUUAAUUUAAUUUUAGAUUUACUCUCAGAUACAGGAACAUACCUACACUGUGGCUCUGCUCCAGGACUUAAAUAUGACCUUCACAACUGCUCCCCACUCUUGCCUUUCUUCCUCACUCUCUGCUUUGGAAAGAAUUCUAGAUAGAUGGCCCAGAAGACAGUUUCUGUGCCUGCCAAGAAGCUCCCUAACUGAAGAGAUCAGAAGACCAGGACAGGGCAACACACUGCGAGGCAUGGCUGUCUGUGCAAGUGUUGCCCCCACCUUUCAUUGAUCAGAUACGUUCAAUACAGACUUUGCUCUUGCUCCUUGUCUGUUCUCCAUACUGUACAAACAUUGUGAUUUCUUUCCUGUGGAGUGGAACCCAUGUAAAAAUAGACAUGAAAAGAUGGUCAUGACAUCCGUGCCUUCAUCGGUCUAAUAACAAUUUGGUUGCUCAGGUUGUUGUACCUGGACCGGAUCAUUCUUGAGUUUGAAGAAUACGGAAAUAGAAAUAUUCUUGAAUUUUUCUCUCAAGUUAGUAUUUUUUCAAGCAAGAUUUGGUCUUUAAGUACAAGACUGAUAAAAACUGGAGUGAUCCUGUGGUGUAUUGCCUGACAGUUCAAUUCAUGCAGUGUUUGAUUCACUGUUUCUCAAUCCAUGCAAGAAAAGUUUGUCAAUUCAAUGAAUGACGUGCAAUAGUUUUAAGUCAGACAUAUUCAGUGAUACUUCAAAAAUGAAUAUAUUGGGUAAAUCUAUUAUUGCAACUUUUAAUUUUUUUUAGUAUGACUUCAUAUCCACAUGACUUCCUUCUAUAGGAGGACAAUGAUUGUGUGUUGUGUCACAGUUAUUUUAUAGAAGCUGUAACAUUCAUUUAAAA